rnacentral:rRNA from 1 species
GAGUUUGAUCAUGGCUCAGAUUGAACGCUGGCGGCAGGCCUAACACAUGCAAGUCGAGCGGAUGACGGGAGCUUGCUCCUUGAUUCAGCGGCGGACGGGUGAGUAAUGCCUAGGAAUCUGCCUGGUAGUGGGGGGACAACGUUUCGAAAGGAACGCUAAUACCGCAUACGUCCUACGGGAGAAAGCAGGGGACCUUCGGGCCUUGCGCUAUCAGAUGAGCCUAGGUCGGAUUAGCUAGUUGGUGGGGUAAUGGCUCACCAAGGCGACGAUCCGUAACUGGUCUGAGAGGGAUGAUCAGUCACACUGGAACUGAGACACGGUCCAGACUCCUACGGGAGGCAGCAGUGGGGAAUAUUGGACAAUGGGCGAAAGCCUGAUCCAGCCAUGCCGCGUGUGUGAAGAAGGUCUUCGGAUUGUAAAG